UACGUAGGUGGCAAGCGUUACUCGGAAUUACUAGGCGUAAAGCGCAGGUAGCUGGUUAGGUAAGUCCGCAAUGAAAUCUCUCGGCUCAACCGGGAGAGGUUGUCCGAUACUGCUGGACUUGAGGGCAGUAGAGGGUGGUGGAAUUCCGGGUGUAGUGGUGAAAUGCGUAGAUAUCAGGAGGAACACCGAUGGCGAAGGCAGGUCUCUGGGCCACUACUGACGCUGAGAAGCGAAAGCAUGGGGAGCGAACAGG
rnacentral:rRNA from 1 species